rnacentral:rRNA from 1 species
UACGAAGGGGGCUAGCGUUGCUCGGAAUCACUGGGCGUAAAGGGUGCGUAGGCGGGUCUUUAAGUCAGAGGUGAAAUCCUGGAGCUCAACUCCAGAACUGCCUUUGAUACUGAAGAUCUUGAGUUCGGGAGAGGUGAGUGGAACUGCGAGUGUAGAGGUGAAAUUCGUAGAUAUUCGCAAGAACACCAGUGGCGAAGGCGGCUCACUGGCCCGAUACUGACGCUGAGACGCGAAAGCGUGGGGAGCGAACAGG